rnacentral:lncRNA from 1 species
GUGGCAGGUGCUUGUAUUCUCAGCUACUUGGGAGGCUGAGGCAGGAGAAAUGCUUGAACCCAGGAGACAGAGAUUGUAGUGAGCUGAGAUUGCACCACUGCACUCCAGUCUGGUGACAGAGCAAGACUCUGUCUCAAACAAAAAGAAGAACUCGAACUGGAGCUUCCCGGAAGUGCCUGGUGGCUUAAAGCUGUCCCUAAGAUGUCUGCAAGUCUCCAGGCGAAGAAGGAAGUGCUGGUGGAGGAGGCUGUGGUUGUCUUUCAGACACGCUUUGAUGUCUUCUCUCUGAAGAUUCUUUCUGCUGGUCUGCUUUGGGCAUGGCUUGAUCCAGCUGUAAAACUUAGCCUCUUGCUUGAUUUCUAUGUACACUGGAAUCAUGGAAUUUCUGUAGCUGUUCCCACAUCAGGCGCACAGCGGCACUUAGAAGACAUCAGCUGGAUGGGUAAAUGAGUGAGUGAUAGUCCGA